rnacentral:rRNA from 1 species
CCUACGGGUGGCAGCAGUCGAGAAUCAUUCACAAUGGGGGAAACCCUGAUGGUGCGACGCCGCGUGGGGGAAUGAAGGUCUUCGGAUUGUAAACCCCUGUCAUGUGGGAGCAAAUUAAAAAGAUAGUACCACAAGAGGAAGAGACGGCUAACUCUGUGCCAGCAGCCGCGGUAAUACAGAGGUCUCAAGCGUUGUUCGGAAUCACUGGGCGUAAAGCGUGCGUAGGCUGUUUCGUAAGUCGUGUGUGAAAGGCGCGGGCUCAACCCGCGGACGGCACAUGAUACUGCGAGACUAGAGUAAGGGAGGGGGAACCGGAAUUCUCGGUGUAGCAGUGAAAUGCGUAGAUAUCGAGAGGAACACUCGUGGCGAAGGCGGGUUCCUGGACAGUAACUGACGCUGAGGCACGAAGGCCAGGGGAGCGAAAGGGAUUAGAUACCCGUGUAGUC